GACGAACGCUGGCGGCGUGCCUAACACAUGCAAGUCGAACGGAAAGGCCCUGCUUUCGUGGGGUUCCCGAGUGGCGAACGGGUGAGUAACACGUGAGUAACCUGCCCUUGACUUUGGGAUAACUUCAGGAAAGUGGGGCUAAUACCGGAUAGCAGCUCCUGCUGCAUGGUGGGCGUUGGAACGUUUGGGUGGUUGGGGAUGGACUCGCGGCUUACCAGCUUGUUGGUUGGGUAGUGGCUUACCCAGGCAUUGACGGGUAGCCGGCCUGAGAGGGUGGCCGGCCACAUUGGGACUGCGAGAGGGAGCAGACUGCAAUGGGAGACAACAGGGGGGAAUAUUGCCCAGUGGGCCGGAGCCUGUGGAGAAGGCGCUGGGUGCGGGAAGACGUCCUUCGGGGUGUAAACCGCUGUAGCCUGAGACGAAGCGGGAGUGACGGUAAUGGGUGAAGAAGCACCGGCUAACUACGUG
rnacentral:rRNA from 1 species